rnacentral:rRNA from 1 species
AUUGAACGCUGGCGGCAGGCCUAACACAUGCAAGUCGAGCGAGCUGCGGACGGGUGAGUAAUGUAUGGGGACUGCCCGAUCGAGGGGGAUAACUACUGGAAACGGUGGCUAAUACCCCAUACUAUCGGAUAACCCCUAUGGGAUUAUCUAGUAGGUGGGGUAAAGGCUCACAUAGGAGACGAUCUCUAGCUGGUCUGAGAGGAUGAUCGGCAACACGGGGACUGAGACACGGCCUACACUCCUACGGAGGCAGCAGUGGGGAAUAUUGGACAAUGGGCGCAAGCGUGAUGCAGCGAUGCCGCUUGUAUGAAGAAGGCUUUAGGGUUGUAAAUGACGUUCAUCGGGGAGGCGUUACCCGCAGAGGAAGCACCGGCUAACUCCGUGCCAGCAGCCGCGGGAAUUC